rnacentral:rRNA from 1 species
GAUCCUGGCUCAGGAUGAACGCUGGCGGCGUGCCUAAUACAUGCAAGUAGAACGCUGAAGCUUGGUGCUUGCACCGAGCGGAUGAGUUGCGAACGGGUGAGUAACGCGUAGGUAACCUGCCUCUUAGCGGGGGAUAACUAUUGGAAACGAUAGCUAAUACCGCAUAAAAGUCGACAUUGCAUGAUGUUGACUUGAAAGGUGCAAAUGCAUCACUAAGAGAUGG